rnacentral:rRNA from 1 species
CGACAGUAUUUUCAUUAAUAACAACAAAGGUACAAAAUAUUACAGAGCAUAUGACAGUUCACCCAACACCAAUUUUUGGAAACAUCAAGUUAAACAUAGAUAAUCAAUUGAGGUGAGCUGCAAUCCAGGCCUUGAAACUUGCUACAUACCUAGCCUUGAUCUUGUGAGUGAGCAGAUUGAGGUCUUUUUUCAGUAGAAGUCUCCAAGACUCCACUGGGGGUUGGAUCUGCUGAAAAAUCCUUCCACUCCUUUGCAUCCAAAUAUGCCAGCAUCCCAUAAUGAUUAUUAUUAGACCAAAAUUCCUGGGAAGAGCAUUAGUGUUCAAGAGAAUCUCAUCCAAGACUGAGAUACCCCUAAACUUGUGUAGGCCAAGGGAUGCCCAACAAACAUAAGCAAACAGACAGUCCCAAAACAGUCUCAUCCGCAUUUAGAGUACAAAUGGCACGAUUCUGAUAAGACAGGUCAAAACCUUUUCUAUGGAGGAGGCAUCUGGUGUUGAUUCUGUCAUGCAAGGGCAGCCAAAAAAAUAUUUUAUAUCUUGGCAUUGCCUCACAUUUCCAGAUUUUCAAGAAGGGGGAGCAGCAUUGCCCUGCUUUAAGAACUUGUACAUGUUAAUAGCAGUAAAAACUUUAAAGUUCCAACUGUAAGUCCAGGUGUCUCUCUGAUCAGUAAUCACCACAUUGCUCAACAACAAUUGCAUCUGGUUUAGUUGUUGAAAUGCCUGUAAGGAUAGAGGUGAAUGCGUUGUUCUUGGGAAAUGCACAUGGCAAAAGUCAAUGGCGAUAAUGCGUCUCUUCUCUAUCCGAUGCUGACGUGUGCUGAGUGUAAACUGCACCUUAUGAGCAUGGCUAAUAGUAAGGUGCUAUGUCAUCUAUAGUCAUUGAUAAAGUAGCGUUAACUAUUAGACUAAUACUUUUCUUAAUAUUUUUUUCUUUUCUACAUUUGUACUACGAUUGACUAGGAGCAUGUGUAAAGCUGGGCUUUUGCAUGAGAACUCACUCCUCUUUUUUUUAAUGUCCCUUUUCUCCACACGGACAAAUGUGUCGUGUAAACAGGCUACUAACCACUUACUAUAUUUCCUCUCAGACUUUUCGACUACUAGAUGAUGAGUUAAACGGGUCUGUUUUUUUUAAGGAGCGAAAUGACCAAGGUCUUUUUUACAUUCACCUUUUUUCGGGAGAGAAUUUGUAGUAUGCAGGUGUGGGGGCAUGCAGCCCCCUUUUUCAUUUGGCUUUUGAUUUUCAGCCUUUCAUCUCUUUUAAACCAAAAGUUUAAAUUAACUUCUGUUUUCAUAUUUGUGUUUCUGGUGACGAGUGCUUUCAAAUGAGAUCCAUUUUGAAUAUAUUUUGACGGGUUUUUAAAAGUUUUAACUUCUGAAACUUGGUAUGACCGAUCAAGAACAGCCAAAAAACUUUUCUAUGGAGGCAUCUGGUGUUAAUUCUGUCAUGCAAGAACAGCCAAAAAAAUAUUCUAUAUCUUGGCAUUGCCACACAUCUCCAGAUUUUCAAGAAGGCAGGGAAGCAGCAUUGUCCUGCUAUAAAAACUUGUACAUGUUAAUCGCACUAAAAUCUUUUUGAGUUCCAACUGUAAGCCCAGGUGUAUCUCUGAUCAGUAAUCACCACAUUGCUCAACAACAAUUGCAUAUGGUUUAGUUGUUGAAAUGCCUGUAAGGAUAGAGGUGAAUGCGUUGUUCUUGCGAAAUGCACACGGCAAAAUUCAAUGGCCACAAUGCUUCUCUUCUCUAUCCAAUGCUGACGUGUGCUGAGUGUAUACUGCACCUUAUGAGCAUGGCUAAUACUCCCUCCGUUCCGAAUUACUUGCCGCAGGUAUGGAUGUAUCUAGAUGUAUUUUAGUUCUAGAUACAUCUAUUUCUGCGACGAGUAAUUUGGAACGGAGGGAGUAGUAAGGUGCUAUGUCAUCUAUAGUCAUUGAUAAAGUAGUGUUAACUACUAGACUGUUUCCUUAAAAGCUCACAGUGCUUUAAGAAAAGUAGCGUGCAUGACCUACUUUAUCAAUUGAGUAAGUUUCAGAAACUAAACCUUAAAGCUCACAGUGCCCUCAUACGGAAUCCAACUACUUUGUUGAUUGCGAUGCAAUAGGGCAGCUGGCACGGCUGGGCUGGUGCGAGCUUCCACAGCUUUGUGCCCGUGCGAAUUUUUGUUUUUGUGGGGAGAAAUAGCUGCCGCUGUGUCAAACCAAAGGAGACAGUCUAGGAUGCCCAGAAGAUAUUUAUGGAUAGAAUAUUACACGUGUCUGGACUCGGUGCAAGAAUUUUAUUGAUUCUUCCAAUAAUUUUCUUCAGUGGAAGCAGGCAUCUUGGUUGGUCCACCACAAACACGAGCUUAACCGUGCAACGCAUAUGGAUAAGCACGAGCAAGACAUGCAUAUGCAUGUAUGUAGGCUGCGUGAAAGCUCUACUGCUCUUAACCGUGCAUGGGUUCUUUAGAAAUAGCCAUUUCUCGGCCAGACAUGCAUUAUCAUUCAUUGGUUGACCGAUCUGGAAAACCACAAUCCACAUUGGUUGCCGCACUAGCAUGUUUUGGGUACUUCGGUGCUGAUUAAUUGGAUGUAUAGAAUCGACUGGCACCUCACCAGUGGCGUCCAGCCGAGGUAGGCCCGAGACGUGGACGGUGGAUAGCCAGCCUCUCUCCCCGCUCUAUAAAUCACGGGCACACCAAGCUUCCCUUCCAAAGCAGAACAAGCGCGGAUCUGAGAGCAGAUGAACUCGAGGUAUUUCGUUGAGUGAGAUCAUCACCAUGUCGUGCUGCGGAGGCAGCUGCGAGUGCGGCAGCGGCUGCGGGGGGGCUCGAUGUGGGGGACGAUUCAUUGACUCAUUGUACGGCCAUGAUGACAUCCACGGCCUAGAUUACUGGGCUAAGAAGUGCGCGGAUUAUUUGUUGUCAGAGCCACCUGAUAUGGUACAUCUAUCAAAUUUCCCUCUUCGUCAAUCAUAUUAUGUAAAAAAAUAACUAAUGCUAAUGAACAUGGGUGCUGCCGUUGCACUAUACUCUGCCGGAUGCUUUGCCAUGGGUAGAAUUUCUAAUGGGUUAGCAUACCCAGUUACACUUGAUUUUGUCACUGGGUUUAGCGGCUGGCUUCCCUUCUCAGGGUCUGAAUCCUUAAUAUUCUGGAAGAAAAUAAAUACUAGUGAUUUACUCAUGACAUGUGCGCAGUAGUAUUUGUUAAACUCAUACACGAAGUCUUGUUCAUGGCCUGGAAGAGCAGGAUGGAGAGCUCAGGGACGACUGCUCGCAGGAGAGCCGCUCAUUUAAAAAUCCUGCUCUUGCAUGGAGACGAUGAUCCUCAAGUACCAUACGAAACCAGUAUAUGGUACGCUAAGUUUCUGCGAACCUCAGGCUUUUCAGUGGAUUUUAGAACCUUCAACAGACUGCAGCAUUUUUGGACAUACCGUGAGAUGGAUUAUGUCAAGCAGUGGCUCCGCCCUAGGAUCGCAGUGCCCAGAAUCACAGUGCCCAGACGCCAUGGAAGGCUGUAGUUUAGUACUCCCUCUGUAAAGAAAUAUAAGAUCGUUUAGAUUACUAAUAAAGUGAUCUAAACAAUCUGAAAGGCUGUAGCUUAGUAGUAAAAGUCGUACCACCAUUACUAGUAUAGUAAGUACUAAAGAGGAUGGCAGUAUUGUAUGGCAGUAAGUACUAAAGAGGAUGAACAAUUGCAAUUUCCAGUGAAGCUUGGCAUAGGUGGCUUUGGCAUGGGUGCUGCCGUUGCCCUCUACUCGGCACAGUGCUAUGCCUUGGGAAGAUUUUCUAAUCGGUUACCAUACCGAUUACCCUGGGCUUUGUCAUUGAGUGUAGCAGUUGGCUUCCCUUCACAGGGUCUGAAUCCUUAAUAUUCUGGAUUUGAAAAUCCACUGACAAAAUCUAAGGUAAUUGACGGUUCAAAGAAUCUAAGGUAAUUGGGUAUGGUAACUGAUCCGGAGGAUCUUACGGAUGUCAUCAUGUCAAGAGCCCCAUUAUUAUAAGACACGCCCAACAUCUACUUCAAACAUACUAAGGUGGAUUCCAUCGUUAAUGCAUGUCUUCUUGGUUCUCAUGAGGAUGGUAUACUACUUGAUUUUCAUGCCAUUUGCACAUAUAGGUUUGAGUCCAAUGAUGAGCGUGCCAUAGAGGAGGUUAUCCCCAAACAAGUGCCUACACCAUCCGCGAGACAAGCAUGAAAGCGGAGAAGGAACCGUCAAGAUGAAGACAAGGUUCCGCAAACAUCAACGGGUGUCCAUGAAAAGGCUACAAGCAAUGCAGACUGUAAAAUGAUCUCCGGCAAUAUAGCGCCGUAGCACAUAGAUUCACGUCUUUCAAGUUCCUAAUUAUAUCCUGGCAGUCUGAACUCCGAAGUAAUCACGAUAUGCCUUUGUGUUCAUGUCUGGCACCAGGGCCAAGGCUUUGAUGCGAACGUCAUCUGGGCGAGUGAGCACUGCAAUCUAUUUUUGGGUUGUGUUCAGACUUCAGACACAAGCGGUAGUCAGCUCGGUUUAAGUCGAUAAACUAAGCUUGUGGUUUCUCCUCC